rnacentral:rRNA from 1 species
AGAGUUUGAUCCUGGCUCAGGAUGAACGCUAGCGGCAGGCUUAACACAUGCAAGUCGAGGGGCAGCGGGGAGGAAGCUUGCUUUCUCCGCCGGCGACCGGCGCACGGGUGAGUAACACGUAUGCAACCUGCCCCUGUCAGGGGGACAACCCGCCGAAAGGCGGGCUAAACCCGCGUACAUGCCACCGGGGCAUCCCGGAGGCAGGAAAGGCUUCGGCCGGACAGGGAUGGGCAUGCGGCGCAUUAGGCAGUAGGCGGGGUAACGGCCCACCUAACCGACGAUGCGUAGGGGUUCUGAGAGGAAGGUCCCCCACACUGGUACUGAGACACGGACCAGACUCCUACGGGAGGCAGCAGUGAGGAAUAUUGGUCAAUGGUCGGGAGACUGAACCAGCCAAGCCGCGUGAGGGAUGAAGGUACAGAGUAUCGUAAACCUCUUUUGUCAGGGAACAAAGGCGGGGACGUGUCCCCGGAUGAGUGUACCUGAAGAAAAAGCAUCGGCUAACUCCGUGCCAGCAGCCGCGGUAAUACGGAGGAUGCGAGCGUUAUCCGGAUUUAUUGGGUUUAAAGGGUGCGCAGGCGGUCUGUUAAGUCAGCGGUCAAAGCCCGGGGCUCAACCCCGGCCCGCCGUUGAAACUGGCAGUCUCGAGUUGGAGAGAAGUAUGCGGAAUGCGCGGUGUAGCGGUGAAAUGCAUAGAUAUCGCGCAGAACUCCGAUUGCGAAGGCAGCAUGCCGGCUCCACACUGACGCUGAGGCACGAAAGCGUGGGUAUCGAACAGGAUUAGAUACCCUGGUAGUCCACGCAGUAAACGAUGAAUGCUGGCUGUCCGGGGGGGAUUGACCCCUGGGUGGCGAAGCGAAAGCGAUAAGCAUUCCACCUGGGGAGUACGCCGGCAACGGUGAAACUCAAAGGAAUUGACGGGGGCCCGCACAAGCGGAGGAACAUGUGGUUUAAUUCGAUGAUACGCGAGGAACCUUACCCGGGCUCAAACGGGGAGUGACUCAGGCAGAGACGCCUGUUUCCCACGGGACACUCCCCGAGGUGCUGCAUGGUUGUCGUCAGCUCGUGCCGUGAGGUGUCGGCUUAAGUGCCAUAACGAGCGCAACCCCCGCGUGCAGUUGCUAACAGAUAACGCUGAGGACUCUGCACGGACUGCCGGCGCAAGCCGCGAGGAAGGCGGGGAUGACGUCAAAUCAGCACGGCCCUUACGUCCGGGGCGACACACGUGUUACAAUGGGUGGUACAGCGGGAAGCCAGGCGGCGACGCCGAGCGGAACCCGAAAUCCACUCUCAGUUCGGAUCGGAGUCUGCAACCCGACUCCGUGAAGCUGGAUUCGCUAGUAAUCGCGCAUCAGCCAUGGCGCGGUGAAUACGUUCCCGGGCCUUGUACACACCGCCCGUCAAGCCAUGGGAGCCGAGGGCGCUUGAAGUGCGUCGCCGCGAGGCGCGCCCUAGAGCGAAAUCGGUGACUGGGGCUAAGUCGUAACAAGGUAACC